AAAACAACUACGAAGGGGGCUAGCGUUGUUCGGAAUUACUGGGCGUAAAGCGUGCGUAGGCGGCUUUGUCAGUCAGAGGUGAAAUCCCAGGGCUCAACCCUGGAACGGCCUCAUAAACUCCCAGUCUGGAGUUCGAGAGAGGUGAGUGGAAUUCCGAGUGUAGAGGUGAAAUUCGUAGAUAUUCGGAGGAACACCAGUGGCGAAGGCGGCUCACUGGCUCGAUACUGACGCUGAGGUGCGAAAGUGUGGGGAGCAAACAGG
rnacentral:rRNA from 1 species